UCCACAAGUCCUCCUCCGUCACUGUUUUCAACCGUGAUCAGCGACUCGACCCAAAAUUCCAGAUAUGUCAGAUCCCACGGAGCUGCCAGAAAAGUAAAUAAUUGAUAAAUACUACAAAGGCAUCCAUUUUGAUUGGGAUAAUUAUCUUCAAUGACGCUACGAGCCAGCAUCCCGCCGAGAUCUCCAAAGCUGGAAAUUUAACCCGAUAUCGUGCCCUUAUCCUCGUGGCGCCGUUCAAAACCUGAGAUGCACAUGCAAAAGGACGGCAAAUCAGGGAAGGGAAAUGAAACAUGGUAGGCAGCGUGUCCUAUGUACGGUGCAUACAAUCACUUUUCACAUCUUGGGUGAGCUUGGACGAAGGAGUACACCCCGGGCUCAUCCUAGUAGGGUUGCCCCUAGGUUGACUCCGGCCAAGUCAUAAAGAAGCUUGCCAUGAUUAGGGAUAAAGAUGCCGAAGAAAGCUGACCAUACAGCAAUAAGUCUAACCUUUUGAUCAAUCCAUUCCCAAGCCAACACGAUUCCAUGUCUUUCAUUCUUCUUAGUCUACUCCAUCGUUGACUCUUUGCUCAAUGCUCAAUGCGCCAACCCAACGGAGUACAUCUGCUGUCCCUUGUCCAGAUGUGAAGAAUUUUGAACAAGGGUUAAAUUUGAAUGCUGGGCGGACUUGCUAUUCCGCUCUUCCGCUCUUCCGCCGAGAUGGCUGCUGCUGGGGUACCUUAAGGGUUGAUCUCAUACGCAAAAUGAAGUAUUUUUCGGAAUAUCCGCAUGUCGGGGGUUCGGAAGGUCCAUAUAGUUGGACUGCCGUUCAAUUUCGGCAGCCUGGACGCUCAGGGGAAGGAUUUGAUCUCCUUUUUUCAACCCGUUUAAUUUUCCCCCGCUCACCCCAGAAGGUAGGGGCUAAAAGCGAGCCGUUUUUACAAGCAUCCCUAAUCGGUGUCAUUACUAUAAUCACUCUGGGUAUUCGCUCCUACUUUCUCCCUCGCUUCUCCAGUGGUAGAAAAUCUUUCUUCUCAGCUCCUCGGCCUCCAACCGAUGGGGAACAACUGAGCCAAGCUGCGCCAGAGCUGCGCAACUAUCUAAAGGAUAGCACAAGGGGA
rnacentral:sRNA from 1 species